rnacentral:rRNA from 1 species
AUGAAUAGAACGGGCCGACUUGACCUGAUCAACUCAGUCCUCACUGCCACCAUCACCUAUUUCCUCACGUCUUUCUCCCCCAGCAGAUGGUUCACUACCAAAUUUGAUAAGCUAAGGAGAAAUUUCCUUUGGAACGCCGAUGAGGAGGCGCAUGGGGGAAAAUGUCUGGUUAACUGGAAGAGAAUCUGUGCACCUUUAAGCGUGGGUGGCCUGGGCAUCAAGGAUAUCAAUGCUUUUGGCCGGGCUCUUCGGCUUCGAUGGCCUUGGUAUGAAUGGGAUAGCUCGGACAGGCCAUGGAAAGGGACCCCGGUGCCUUGCAAUCAACCUGACCUUAAUCUUUUUGCGGCAUGCACUUCGAUUUCUCUGGGAGAUGGCCGUUUUAUGAAAUUCUGGAGUCAUAGAUGGUUAGAGGGCCAAGCUCCAAAAGAUUGGGCUCCUGAUCUUUUUCGGAUGGCAAGGUCCAAAGGGCUCACUGUCAGUCAGGCUCUUGAUGGAGACGCAUGGAUGAGAGGACUGCAGAAUAUCAACUCUGCUGGGCUGAUGAACUUUUUUAUUAGCCUCUGGAUGAAAUUACAGAAUGUUUCCUUGCUCUCUAGACCUGACACAAUCACUUGGAAGCUAACGGCUAGCGGACAAUACACGGCAAAAUCGGCUUACCAAGUUCAGUUCUUGACGCGUAUCCCUCAACCACACCUGCAGCAGGUCUGGAAGAUUACAGCUGAAAAGAAAGUAAAGUUCUUCAUCUGGACCCUCCUUCAGAAUAGACUUUGGACCGGUGAUCGACUGCAAGCGAGAAACUGGGACCACAAUGACUUGUGUGCUGGUUGCGAUCAAGUGCUGGAAUCCGCACAUCACUUGAUUCUUGACUGCCCUUUUGCCAAAGAAAUAUGGUUCAAGACCAGCUCCUUCUUCCCGCUUGCAUCCCAGGCUGCUCGGCAUGCUUCAUCUAUCUCAGCUUGGUGGAACAGAGUGGCAAAGCUAAAGAAAAAAGGACGCCAACUGGACGAAUGCACAGCGGCAGUUUACAUCGCUUGGAAUAUUUGGCUCAAGAGAAACAGAAGGAUCUUUAAGGAUUCAGCGCAACCGUCAACAGAUGUUCUUGUUAGAGCUAGAGAUGACAUUAGCCUCCUUUCGGAGGCAUGGGAGGAGUAG